GCGGAAGUGGCGAAAUGGCAGACGCGCAAGCCUUAGGAGCUUGUGUCCGAGAGGGCGUGCGGGUUCGAGUCCCGCCUUCCGCA
rnacentral:tRNA from 1 species